rnacentral:rRNA from 1 species
CCGGCCGAAGCCCUCGUCAAUGUCGGCCGUAACUAUAACGGUCCUAAGGUAGCGUAAUUCCUUGUCAGGUAAGGAAGUUGCCUGAUGCGGCAGUGAUGCCGCAGAAGAACUGGCUUAUAACGGUGAAGUCCUCGCCGGAGUCCGGAGCGCAAGGCCCGGGCGUAGAAAGCAGGAUAAUACCGUGGGAAGUCGUCCCGGCAAUGCUGUGGAUUGACCCCGUAACGACUUUGGGCGCCGCCAAUUGGUGGCGACCAGGAUAGAUUUAUGUUAGCAUAAAUUUAUAACAUGCCAGCUCUCAAUGUUAAAAGAAAUUUAAAAGAAUAUAUCUCUGGAUAUGUUGAUGGAGAAGGAAGUUUUUGCGUGUCAUUUUCAAAACGCGAUAAACUUUUGGUGGGCUGGGAAACCAAGCCAAGUUUUUCUGUAGGUCAAAAAGAAGAACGGGCCAAUGUUCUCGGUUUAAUGCAAAAAUUUUUCGGGUGCGGGUUUAUGAGAAAAGAUUCUUCGGAUGGUACUAUCAAGUACGAAGUCCGAAGUUUAAACGAUCUUAUCCGUAAAAUAAUUCCGCAUUUUGAAAAAUACCAGCUACUUUCUCCCAAACAAGAAGAUUUCCUAUUGUUUAAGCGAGUCUGUCUGCUUAUGCAAAAAGAAAAACAUCUACAUUCAAAAGGACUAAGAAAAAUAGUCUCAAUUGCUUGCAAGAUGAACCCAAGCGGCAAGAGAAAAUAUUCCAGAAAAAAUAUUCUUAAAACAUUGAGAUGAAGAUAUAGUCUAUACCAUUAGAAAUAAUGGACAAAUAUGGAGUUCUGACGCGCACGAAAGGAGUAAUGACUGAGCAACUGUCUCGAGGAUUCGCUCGGUGAAAAUGCGAUGCCGGUGAAGAUGCCGGCUAGGUACAGUUAGACGAAAAGACCCCGUGAAGCUUUACUGUAAGUUGUUAUUGGCUUUACGUUCUUAAUACGUAGCGUAGUGGGGAGGAUUUGAAGUGCCGUUCUCGGAUGGCAUGGAUCCGCCAAUGAAACACCCAUUUUUAAGGAUGUAAAAUCUAACCCGCAGAGAUUAAACUCUGUGGGGACAGUAGCUGCUGGGCAGUUUGUGUGGGGCGCAAUCCUCCUAAAAAGUAACGGAGGAGUUCAUUAAGGUCAGCUAGGCGCGGAUGGACAUCGCGCUAGUCGUGCAAUGGCAUAAGCUGGCUUAACUGCAAGACGGGCAUGUCGCGCAGGUGCGAAAGCAGAACAUAGUGAACCGACCAUUGGCACUCGAUGCCGUGGAAGAUUAACGGAUAAAAGCUACUCCGGGGAUAACAGGCUAGUUCCGCCCAAGAGUCCAUAUCGACGGCGGAGUUCGGCACCU